GCAAACUUGGUCAUUUAGAGGAAGUAAAAGUCGUAACAAGGUUUCCGUAGGUGAACCUGCGGAAGGAUCAUUAUUGAGUGAAAGGUUUCCCUCUGUGGAACCUGACCUCCCAACCCUUGUAUUCAUCUACCGAUUUGCUUUGGCGGGCCCGUCACCGUUUUUGUGACCGCCGAAGGGUCUGAGUUGACUCAGUCUUCCUAACCCCUUGGGCCUGCGUCCGCCAGAGAUAUUCUGAAUACUUCAUUAUGCGAAAAGGUUGUCUGAGUAAUAAACAAAAUAAGUUAAAACUUUCAACAACGGAUCUCUUGGUUCCGGCAUCGAUGAAGAACGCAGC
rnacentral:misc_RNA from 1 species